rnacentral:misc_RNA from 1 species
GUGCGAUAUGACCAUCAUUUUAACACAACUCACUAUUUUCUCACAAAAAGUUGCAUUUCAGAGAGAAACAAGAAACAGUUGUCACAUAAAAACCUUUUAAGUAACCAAUUCAUUCUAAACAGUUACUUUACUCCAACUGAGGCCAUCAAAUCUUCAUAUUCAGGAUCAGCCUCCUGCUUUCUUCCCUUUAACAGAUUACCUCCUUGCUGUUGAGGCAUAAUAGGAACAGAAGUAGGCGAAAAUGGAUCAUAAAUUUGCUGCCCUCCAGGACUAGAUGCAAAAGACAGAUUUCUAUUGGAUUGUUGAUUUGAUGCCAUGAAAUUGCCUUGUGGAGUUAUAGGACCUGGAUAACUUUGCCGAACUUGAAGGGGAUUCCCUGGCCUAGGUGGAAAAGGGCCUGACAAAUCAGGCAGUCGGGCAACUGGACUGAAGUUUCGAGCUGGAGGUAUGGUUGGACUUGCAUUUGAAAAUGCUGGAACUCUGGGUGGAACUGAGGAGCCAGUAGAAUUUCCAACAAAAGGGAUAGGGGACAUGUGAGGCUGAGUUUGACCCAUCUGAUUGCUUAUAUGUGAACUUGGAAAUACAUGCAUACCAGGUGGAGGAAUUGAAUUGGGCACAGCCAACCUGAAAGAUGGUGUUUGAGGUGAUGGUUGCAUCAAUGGUCUGGCAAGUGGAGGAUCCUGAGUCAUAGGCUGAUUGCUUGGCCUGAGAACUGAAUGAGGAGCCGGAUUCUGUGGAUGAUGAGGUUGAAAAGUAAAAUCACCAGGACCUGAAUGCAGCAGUUUUGGAGCAGUUACUGUUGGUCUCGUGAGAGUAGGAUUUGAUACAUUUCCAGAAAAGGAUCCUGCAGUUUCAGACUGCAGAGUUGGUCGUGAUGCGGAUGUCAUUGGCAAAGAAAUUGGCAUGCUUCCAGACAUAGGGGUUAUUAAUGCAUGAGGUACAGGUGCAGAGGAAGAACCCACUUGAGGGGUUGGAACAGAAGGAAAACUCGAGGCUCCACUGGCUUGAUUCAUCAGAACAUUGACUGCGGAAGGAGCAGAUGGAAAUGAUACAGGAGAAACUAUAUUAGCUGCUGGCAUAGUUGAAGGUGGUGCAGAUGGCAGAAAACCUGGUUGCGGAACUACAGGCCGAGGACCCUGCAAAGAACCCAUAGGAGGAACCAUUUGCCCCAUGUUACCAGGACCUAAAGAUGCUGGAAUGGCACCACAAGCUAGAGGCCAUCCAGAAGAGCUUCCCACAGGUGUCAAUGAUCUGUCAGAUUGUGGUCCUAGUGUAACACUUGAUACAGGCCGGGGCAAUGAUGGCAUUAAUGGUCUAGCAACUGGAGAUAGCAGUGCUGGUGGGGCUUGGUUACCAGUGAAUGAAAGUGAAGCCAAAACAUUAGAGUGAGCAGAUGAAGGCUGAGGCACUGGCAUGGGAAAGUUUCUUGGUGGGUAUGGAUGUGAUAAGACCUGCAUUGGCAGCUGUGGCCUGGAAGGAACAGGAGAUGUGUUUUGAAAAUUUGAAUUGAACCCAGAUGCUGGAAUUGGUCGAGGCCCAAACAAUGAAGGCACAGGAGUAGGAGCCAAAGGUGAUGAGUGUACGGGCAUAAGGUUGUUAUUAAUUGGUGCAGAAGAAUUCUGAGAGGGAAUGAAGCCAGGAGGAUGUAUUGUAGCUUGAGCUGAGACUGCUGGUAAACAUAGUCCUUGGUUUUGAAACUGACCUUGUUGAGGAGUUUGUGCAGCUCCAAAUGCUAAUUGCAUCACUCCAUGCUCACCAUUUCGGACCAUAAAAGGAGAAGACACCUCCUGACUUUCAUUUGGAACAUUCACAUUUUUCCCAGUCGCUAAAUUUCCUGAUACUGAGGUAACUAGCAAUUCAAUUAGGGCAACUGCUUCAUCAACUUUCUCAAAUGUGUCAGCUGAUACAUGAACAUUCAACUCCUCGUAAGCCAAAUGGGUGUCAUUCGUAUCAGAUGGAGAAAUUUCAACCUUCUUUCCUGUAUUAGCUUUGGUAACAAAUACUUGUAUUUUAGCUCCAGUUUCCUUUUCCAAUCGCUUGUGAGUCUCUCCUCCCGGCCCAAAUAUUAGACCAACAAAAUUGUACCCGGGGUGAUCUUUGACAGGAAUGGGAACUGUGGCCUCUUUCAGCAAAGGUUCGUAAUCAGGUGGUGCCUUGUAACUUGGAUUCAGUUUGAGUAUCUCACCUAUAAUCUCCCGUCUUUCAAGUUUCAAGUCCUUGAUGUCAAUUGGUGGACUGGACAACUUGAGAUCUGCAUGCUGAUCAGCUUGUGAGUCUUGAGUUUCACCAGAUUCCAGAAUUCCCAACUCCAGCUGUUGCGUAAUUUGAUCCACUCGAGUCUGAUAAGCUAAGGCUCUUCCCUUUCUAACUGCGGCAUCCUGGUUUGGAUCGGGGCCCCAUUUUGUUUUCCUCAGCCCCUGGUUGUUACUGUCUUCAUUAGCUGCAUCAUUGCCUCCUGACUUUUUACCUCCUCUGAAGAUUGGAACCAAUGAACCUGAAAGUUUGUUUUUUGGUAUGACAAAUCCAGACUUUGCAGCAAAUAUAGAGACCUUCAGACCAGUAGUGAUGCACCAGAUGAGGAAUUUGUCGAAGACAUCUUAGUCUUGUGGGUUUCAACUGCAGAUGUCUGGUCAACCUCAGUAUUCAUUUUUCUGUAGUCACCCUUGUACUGCAC